ACUAAAGGCGCGGGCACGCGACCCGCCGCUCCCGACCAGCAGGUGACAGUACAGCCCCGCGCGCAGGUUACACCGGGUGGAUGAAAACACAUGGAGGAGCAGGUUUCCCGGUCAGAGAGGAUCCGAUGACGGCCGGCCGGGAACCAGAUCCAGCCGGGCGUUUAUCCGGGUGUUUAUCCGGCAGCUCGGCGGCCAAAUGAGACGCGUGGCCGUUUCCAUGGAUGUGUUGUUUACAGAGGGAGGGUGUGAAA
ensembl:lncRNA